UCCGGCUUUCACCGGCUGUCUCUCUAGAGUGCCCAGCUUUACCUGCUGGCAACUAAAAAUAAGGGUUGCGCUCGUUGCGGGACUGAACCCAACAUCUCACGACACGAGCUGACGACAACCAUGCACCACCUGUCUCCUCUGUCCCGAAGGCCUAGCAUGUCUCCAUACUAUUCAAAGGGAUGUCAAGACCUGGUAAGGUUCUUCGCGUUGCUUCGAAUUAAACCACAUGCUCCACCGCUUGUGCGGGCCCCCGUCAAUUCCUUUGAGUUUCAGCCUUGCGGCCGUACUCCCCAGGCGGAGUGCUUAAUGGGUUUCCUUCGGCACUGUAGGUCGUUGACCUCCAACACCUAGCACUCAUCGUUUACGGCGUGGACUAC
rnacentral:misc_RNA from 1 species